rnacentral:lncRNA from 1 species
ACUCAUUUAAGCUUCCCCCCAUUUCUCUUUCUACUCUAUCUCUCAAGAACCAUUCACGAUUUGAACAAGUUUUUGCCUGAUUUGAACAAGCUUUUGUACGAAUUGAAGACACUUAUGCAUGUAUUGAAGGUCAAGCUUUCACUGGGUUGCCGAUUUGAAGCAUUCGAAGGUAUUUGCUUCCACUGGUACACUUUAUUCAAAUUCAAAAUUGUGUUUUCUUUAAUCUUUUGAGUCAAUUUUAAAUUAUUGUUCGAAUUGAAGGUUGAAUUAAUCUAUUCUUUGAGAAUCUAUUUGGUUUUGGUUGUAUUGUCCGUGAUUUUACAUUACAAUGGGGUGGUGAAUAUUGUGAUUUUUCUUUAGUUUACUCGGUUUUGGAUGCAUGCAAUCGGUUGGGGUUAGGGUUUAUGAAAACAUUUGGGGCU